rnacentral:RNase_P_RNA from 1 species
AGACCGGAUGGCCGCCGGCAUCCUUCGUUUGAAGGUGCGGGAGGAAAGUCCGAACACCGCAGGGCAGGGUGCUUCGUAACGCGAAGUCCUGGUGACAGGCAGGAAAGUGCCACAGAAAAGAUACCGCCCCGGUUCAACCGGGGUAAGGGUGAAAAGGCGAGGUAAGAGCUCACCAGCACCGGUGGUGACAUCGGUGGCUUGGCAAACCCCACCCGGUGCAAGACCAAAUAGGCUCUAUCCAUCCGUGUGCGGAUAUAGGACGGCCCGUCUGAAGGCAGCUGCCGGGUAGAGCGGGUAGGUCGCUUGAGGUUGCGGGUGACCGCAAUCCUAGAUGAAUGGUCAUCGCUUCCCGUUCGGGGAGAACAGAAUUCGGCUUACAGGUCUGCUCCGGCA